rnacentral:rRNA from 1 species
AUUGAACGCUGGCGGCAGGCUUAACACAUGCAAGUCGAACGCAUCGCAAGAUGAGUGGCAGACGGGUGAGUAACGCGUGGGAACAUACCCUUUUCUACGGAAUAGCUCUGGGAAACUGGAAUUAAUACCGUAUACGCCCUACGGGGGAAAGAUUUAUCGGGGAAGGAUUGGCCCGCGUUGGAUUAGCUAGUUGGUGGGGUAAAGGCCUACCAAGGCGACGAUCCAUAGCUGGUCUGAGAGGAUGAUCAGCCACAUUGGGACUGAGACACGGCCCAAACUCCUACGGGAGGCAGCAGUGGGGAAUAUUGGACAAUGGGCGCAAGCCUGAUCCAGCCAUGCCGCGUGAGUGAUGAAGGCCUUAGGGUUGUAAAGCUCUUUCACCGAUGAAGAUAAUGACGGUAGUCGGAGAAGAAGCCCCGGCUAACUUCGUGCCAGCAGCCGCCGUAACAC